GACGAACCGAGCGAACGUUGUUCGGAAUCACUGGGCUUAAAGGGCGCGUAGGCGGGCUGUAAAGUCUGGGGUGAAAUCCCGCGGCUCAACCGUGGAACUGCCUCAGAUACUGAUGGCCUCGAGGGAGGUAGGGGCGAGCGGAACUAGUGGUGGAGCGGUGAAAUGCGUUGAUAUCAUUAGGAACUCCGGUGGCGAAGGCGGCUCGCUGGACCUUUUCUGACGCUGAGGCGCGAAAGCUAGGGGAGCAAACGGG
rnacentral:rRNA from 1 species